rnacentral:lncRNA from 1 species
GCUAAACAAUGUAAUUUUUCUUUUCUAUCCCAUCCUAUCAUUCAUUUCUCUUGAACUACCAUAUGUUGUUUUUUGUUGAGUGGUGUCUUCUUCACACACUACAACAGAAAAUAAAUUGAACAUUUUCUACAAAUAAAUGAAUCCCAUUUGUAGCCUUGACUUUGCUUCAUGUGCUUGUUUGCACCAAGUUGAUUUGUGUUUUGAUUGAGAUGGCGAAUUAACUAAUAUGACAAAGUAACUUUUUAAUUUCCUAAUAACAAGUAUCAUGCCUUCAUGUUGUCUUACACCCCCC